rnacentral:rRNA from 1 species
ACUUAAGCAUAUCAAUAAGCGGAGGAAAAGAAACUAACAAGGAUUCCCCUAGUAACUGCGAGUGAAGCGGGAAAAGCUCAAAUUUGAAAUCUGGCGGUCUUUGAUCGUCCGAGUUGUAAUCUAGAGAAGUUGUUACCUGUGCAGGACCAUGUACAAGUCUCCUGGAAUGGGGCAUCAUAGAGGGUGAGAAUCCCGUCUUUGACAUGGACUACCUGCAUGUUGUGGUGCGCUCUCAAAGAGUCGAGUUGUUUGGGAAUGCAGCUCAAAAUGGGUGGUAAAUGCCAUCUAAAGCUAAAUAUUGGCGAGAGACCGAUAGCGAACAAGUACCGUGAGGGAAAGAUGAAAAGCACUUUGGAAAGAGAGUUAAACAGUACGUGAAAUUGCUGAAAGGGAAACGCUUGAAGUCAGUCACAUUGGCCAGAAAUCAGCCUUGCUUUUGUGAGGUGUACUUUCUGUUUGAUGGGUCAGCAUCAAUUUCGAUCGCUGGAUAAAGUCUCUGGGAAUGUGGCAUCUUCGGAUGUGUUAUAGCCCAUUGUCACAUGCAGCGGUUGGGAUUGAGGAACUCAGCACGCCGAAAGGCCGGGUUUCGACCCAUGUCCGUGCUUAGGAUGCUGGCAUAAUGGCUUUAAUCGACCCGUCUUGAAACACGGACCAAGGAGUCUAACAUGCCUGCGAGUGU